rnacentral:rRNA from 1 species
UACGGAGGGUGCAAGCGUUAAUCGGAAUUACUGGGCGUAAAGCGCACGCAGGCGGUCUGUCAAGUCGGAUGUGAAAUCCCCGGGCUCAACCUGGGAACUGCAUUCGAAACUGGCAGGCUGGAGUCUUGUAGAGGGGGGUAGAAUUCCAGGUGUAGCGGUGAAACGCGUAGAGAUCUGGAGGAAUACCGGUGGCGAAGGCGGCCCCCUGGACAAAGACUGACGCUCAGGUGCGAAAGCGUGGGGAGCAAACAGG